GACAGAGGUGGCAAGCGUUGUUCGGAAUUACUGGGCGUAAAGGGCGCGUAGGCGGCCUGUUAAGUCGGGGGUGAAAUCCUGGAGCUCAACUCCAGAACUGCCUUCGAUACUGGCGAUCUUGAGUCCGGAAGAGGUGAGUGGAACUCCUAGUGUAGAGGUGGAAUUCGUAGAUAUUAGGAAGAACACCAGUGGCGAAGGCGGCUACACGUGGUG
rnacentral:rRNA from 1 species